UACGUAUGGUGCAAGCGUUAUCCGGAUUUACUGGGUGUAAAGGGAGCGCAGGCGGCACGGCAAGCCUGAUGUGAAAGCCCGCGGCCCAAUCGCGGGACUGCAUUGGGAACUACCGGGCUGGAGUGCCGGAGAGGUAGGCGGAAUUCCUAGUGUAGCGGUGAAAUGCGUAGAUAUUAGGAGGAACACCAGUGGCGAAGGCGGCCUACUGGACGGUGACUGACGCUGAGGCUCGAAAGCGUGGGGAGCAAACAGG
rnacentral:rRNA from 1 species